GAUGAACGCUGGCGGCGUGCUUAACACAUGCAAGUCGAACGAAGCACUUUAUUUGAUUUCCUUCGGGACUGAUUAUUUUGUGACUGAGUGGCGGACGGGUGAGUAACGCGUGGGUAACCUGCCUUGUACAGGGGGAUAACAGUUGGAAACGGCUGCUAAUACCGCAUAAGCGCACAGCAUCGCAUGAUGCAGUGUGAAAAACUCCGGUGGUAUAAGAUGGACCCGCGUUGGAUUAGCUAGUUGGUGAGGUAACGGCCCACCAAGGCGACGAUCCAUAGCCGACCUGAGAGGGUGACCGGCCACAUUGGGACUGAGACACGGCCCAAACUCCUACGGGAGGCAGCAGUGGGGAAUAUUGCACAAUGGGCGAAAGCCUGAUGCAGCGACGCCGCGUGAGCGAAGAAGUAUUUCGGUAUGUAAAGCUCUAUCAGCAGUGAAGAUAAUGACGGUACCUGACUAAGAAGCACCGGCUAAAUACGUG
rnacentral:rRNA from 1 species